rnacentral:rRNA from 1 species
GACACGGCCCAGACUCCUACGGGAGGCAGCAGUGGGGAAUUUUGGACAAUGGGGGCAACCCUGAUCCAGCCAUUCCGCGUGAGUGAAGAAGGCCUUCGGGUUGUAAAGCUCUUUUGUCCGGAACGAAACGGUUAGCGUGAAUAUCGCUGACUACUGACGGUACCGGAAGAAUAAGCACCGGCUAACUACGUGCCAGCAGCCGCGGUAAUACGUAGGGUGCGAGCGUUAAUCGGAAUUACUGGGCGUAAAGCGUGCGCAGGCGGUUUUGUAAGCCAGAUGUGAAAUCCCCGGGCUUAACCUGGGAAUGGCAUUUGGGACUGCAAGGCUUGAGUGCGGCAGAGGAGACUGGAAUUCCUGGUGUAGCAGUGAAAUGCGUAGAUAUCAGGAGGAAUACCGAUGGCGAAGGCAGGUCUCUGGGCUGACACUGACGCUCAUGCACGAAAGCGUGGGGAGCAAACAGGAUUAGAUACCCUGGUAGUCCACGCCCUAAACGAUGUCGACUGGUUGUUGGGGGUUUGACACUCUCAGUAACGAAGCUAACGCGUGAAGUCGACCGCCUGGGGAGUACGACCGCAAGGUUAAAACUCAAAGGAAUUGACGGGGACCCGCACAAGCGGUGGAUUAUGUGGAUUAAUUCGAUGCAACGCGAAAAACCUUACCUACCCUUGACAUGUCCGAGAGCCCGCAGAGAUGUGGGUGUGCUCGAAAGAGAAUCGGAACACAGGUGCUGCAUGGCUGUCGUCAGCUCGUGUCGUGAGAUGUUGGGUUAAGUCCCGCAACGAGCGCAACCCUUGUCAUUAGUUGCUACAUUUAGUUGGGCACUCUAAUGAGACUGCCGGUGACAAACCGGAGGAAGGUGGGGAUGACGUCAAGUCCUCAUGGCCCUUAUGGGUAGGGCUUCACACGUAAUACAAUGGCGCGUACAGAGGGUUGCCAAGGAGCGAUCUGGAGCCAAUCCCACUAAAGCGCGUCGUAGUCCGGAUUGCAGUCUGCAACUCGACUGCAUGAAGUCGGAAUCGCUAGUAAUCGCGGAUCAGCAUGUCGCGGUGAAUACGUUCCCGGGUCUUGUACACACCGCCCGUCACACCAUGGGAGUGGGUUUCACCAGAAGCCGGUCGCCUAACCGCAAGGAGGGCGCCGACCACGGUGAGAUUCAUGACUGGGGUGAAGUCGUAACAAGGUAGCCGUAUCGGAAGGUGCGGCUG